rnacentral:rRNA from 1 species
UGAAUACGAGACGCUAAGGCGUCGAAGUAGUGUAUGUCAUACUUCCAAGAAAAGCUUGCACUGUCAUGGAUAAAAAACGCCUGUACCAUAACCGACACAGGUGGGUAGGUAGAGUAUACUAAGGGGCGCGAGAUAACUCUCUCUAAGGUACUCGGCAAAAUAACUCCGUAACUUCGGGAGAAGGAGUGCCUUAUUCGUAAGGUUGCAAUAACAAGAUCCAAGCAACUGUUUAUCAAAAACUCAGGUCUCCGCUAAGUCGUAAGACGAUGUAUGGGGGCUGACGCCUGCCCAGUGCCAGAAGGUUAAAGAAGUUGGUUAGCAAUUGCGAAGCUGAUAACUGAAGCCCUGGUGAACGGCGGCCGUAACAAUAACGGUCCUAAGGUAGCGAAAUUCCUUGUCGGGUAAGUUCCGACCCGCACGAAAGGCGUAAUGAUUUGGAUACUGUCUCGGAGAGGGGCUCGGUGAAAUAGACUUGUCUGUGAAGAUGCGGACUACCUGCACCAGGACAGAAAGACCCUAUGAAGCUUUACUGUAACUUGAAAUUGAAAUUGGACUUUAUUCGCGCAGUAUAGGUGGGAGGCGUUGAUUAUAAUCUUGUGGGAUUAUUGGAGCCAUCAGUGAGAUACCACUCUUGUAAUGUUAGAUUUCUAACUUUGAAUCAUUAUCUGGUCAAAGAACAGUUUCAGGCGGGCAGUUCGACUGGGGCGGUCGCCUCCUAAACGGUAACGGAGGCGUACAAAGGUUUCCUCUGAACGGUUAGAAAUCGUAUCUAGAGUGUAAAGGCAUAAGGAAGCUUGACUGUGAGACCUACAAGUCGAGCAGGGACGAAAGUCGGUCUUAGUGAUCUGACGGUACUGAGUGGAAAGGCCGUCACUCAACGGAUAAAAGUUACUCUAAGGAUAACAGGCUGAUCUCCCCCAAGAGUUCACAUCGACGGGGAGGUUUGGCACCUCGAUGUCGGCUCAUCGCAUCCUGGGGCGGUAGUACGUCCCAAGGGUUGGGCUGUUCGCCCAUGAAAGCGGUACGCGAGCUGGGUUCAGAACGUCGUGAGACAGUUCGGUCCAUAUCCGGUGUAGGCGUUAGAAUAUUGAGAGGAGCCUUCUUUAGUACGAGAGGACCGAGAAGGACAUACCUCUGGUGUACCAGUUAUCGUGCCAACGGUAAACGCUGGGUAGCUAUGUAUGGAGUGGAUAACCGCUGAAAGCAUCUAAGUGGGAAGCCCCCCUCAAGAUAAGUA